UGUAGGUUAUUCAAACUGAUAUUUGAUGAGUUCACAGUACGCAUUAUUCCAAGAGAUGCUCCUCUACUAGAAUCUGUUGGACCACAAAAGUGUCUUGCUUUCAGCACAGAUGGUGCAAAAUUUGCAAUUGGUGGAGAGGAUGGACAUCUCAGAAUAUUCCAUUGGCCAAGCAUAAA